rnacentral:rRNA from 1 species
UACGGAGGAUCCGAGCGUUAUCCGGAUUUACUGGGUGUAAAGGGAGCGUAGGCGGCUUAGUAAGUCAGAAGUGAAAGCCCGCAGCUCAACUGCGGGACUGCUUUUGAAACUGCCAAGCUAGAGUGUCGGAGAGGUCAUCGGAAUUCCUUGUGUAGCGGUGAAAUGCGUAGAUAUAAGGAAGAACACCAGUGGCGAAGGCGGAUGACUGGACGGCAACUGACGGUGAGGCGCGAAAGCGUGGGGAGCAAACAGG